rnacentral:rRNA from 1 species
AUUGACCUCGGAUCAGGUAGGGAUACCCGCUGAACUUAAGCAUAUCAAUAAGCGGAGGAAAAGAAACCAACAGGGAUUGCCCUAGUAACGGCGAGUGAAGCGGCAACAGCUCAAAUUUGAAAUCUGGCUCCUUUGGGGUCCGAGUUGUAAUUUGUAGAGGGUGCUUUGGUGUUGGCUGUGGUCUAAGUUCCUUGGAACAGGACGUCACAGAGGGUGAGAAUCCCGUACGUGGCCGCCAGCCUCCACCGUGUAAAGCCCCUUCGAUGAGUCGAGUUGUUUGGGAAUGCAGCUCUAAAUGGGAGGUAAAUUUCUUCUAAAGCUAAAUAUUUGCCAGAGACCGAUAGCGCACAAGUAGAGUGAUCGAAAGAUGAAAAGCACUUUGGAAAGAGAGUCAAAAAGCACGUGAAAUUGUUGAAAGGGAAGCGCUUGCAGCUAGACGUGCCUUGGGUUGAUCAGCCGGGCUUUUGCCCGGUGCACUCUUCCUUUGGCAGGCCAGCAUCAGUUUGGGCGGCUGGAUAAAGGUCUGUUAAACGUGACUUCCUUCGGGGAGAGCUUAUAGGGCAGACGACAUGCGGCCAGCCUGAACUGAGGUCCGCGCAUCUGCUAGGAUGCUGGCGUAAUAGCUGUAAGCGGCCCGUCUUGAAACACGGACCAAGGAGUCUAACAUCUAUGCGAGUGUUUGGGUGUCAAGCCCGAGCGCGUAAUGAAAGUAAACGGAGGUGGGAACCCUUUGGGUGCACCAUCGACCGAUCCUGAUGUCUUCGGAUGGAUUUGAGUAAGAGCAUAGCUGUUGGGACCCGAAAGAUGGUGAACUAUGCCUGAAUAGGGUGAAGCCAGAGGAAACUCUGGUGGAGGCUCGCAGCGGUUCUGACGUGCAAAUCGAUCGUCAAAUUUGGGCAUAGGGGCGAAAGACUAAUCGAACUAUCUAGUAGCUGGUUCCUGCCGAAGUUUCCCCUCAGGAAA